GCAGGACGAGGCCCGGCAACAACACAGGAGACGCCACAGACAUGGAGAAACUCAAACAGGACAUCCUGGAGGAGAUGCGCAGCGAGCUGCAGAAAGUGAAGGAUGAGAUCAUCAGCGCUCUGCUGGAGGAGCUGCAGAAGAUCAAUGCGGCGUAGCUGCGCAUCAGGACGAUCUGCGCAAACGUCUGCGCAGAAACACAACAUGUGCACACACUUCAAGAUACAAGAAUCUCACUCCUGCACCCUCGUACUCGCCUGACUUACUCGCUUUUACCCUCGUAGUUUUACACCUGCUGCCUUUCACUUUUCUUUAUGUGAAUAUUCAUGAUCUCUAUUAAUAUGUUUCUGAUCCGCUGCUGUGUCAAGCGUUUAUUGUGUCUGUUGCAUGUGUUUAAAUCAUGUAGAGCUCUUACAUGUACCACCUGCAUCUAGAAAUAGUAGAAUAGUUGUUUACGUCUGUAAUGAUCAGAAUGUGUGGGAUUCUGUGUAAUUGCAGGUUAUUUAUCUUGCACUGUUAUGUAAACUGUGUUUGACCAGCAGGGGUUUUCAAACCGGGA